rnacentral:rRNA from 1 species
AGUGAACGCUGGCGGUAGGCCUAACACAUGCAAGUCGAACGGCAGCACAGGAGAGCUUGCUCUCUGGGUGGCGAGUGGCGGACGGGUGAGGAAUACAUCGGAAUCUACUUUUUCGUGGGGGAUAACGUAGGGAAACUUACGCUAAUACCGCAUACGACCUACGGGUGAAAGCAGGGGAUCUUCGGACCUUGCGCGAUUGAAUGAGCCGAUGUCGGAUUAGCUAGUUGGCGGGGUAAAGGCCAACCAAGGCGACGAUCCGUAGCUGGUCUGAGAGGAUGAGCAGCCACACUGGAACGGCGACACGGGCCAGGCUCCUAAGGGAGGCAGCAGUGGGGAAUAUUGGACAAUGGGCGCAAGCCUGAUCCGGCCAUACCGCGUGGGUGAAGAAGGCCUUCGGGUUGUAAAGCCCUUUUGUUGGGAAAGAAAUCCAGCUGGUUAAUACCCGGUUGGGAUGACGGUACCCAAAGAAUAAGCACCGGCUAACUGCGUGCCAGCCGCCGCAGUAA